rnacentral:rRNA from 1 species
CCUACGGGAGGCAGCAGUGAGGAAUAUUGGUCAAUGGGCGCGACCCUGAACCAGCCAAGUAGCGUGAAUGAUGACUGCCCUACGGGUUGUAAGCUUCUUUUGUAAGGAAGUAAAACGAGGCACGUGUGCCUUUUUGCAUGUACUUUAUGAAUAAGGAUCGGAUAACUCCGUGCCAGCAGCCGCGGUAAUACGGAGGAUCCGAGCGUUAUGCGGAUUUAUUGGGUUUAAAGGGAGCGUAGAUGGGUUGUUAAGUCAGUUGUGAAAGUGUGCGGCUUAACCGUAAAAUUGCAAUUGAUACUGGCAGUCUUGAGUACAGUUGAGGUAGGCGGAAUUCGUGGUGUAGCGGUGAAAUGCUUAGAUAUCACGAAGAACCCCGAUUGCGAAGGCAGCUUACUAAACUGUGACUGACAUUGAUGCUCGAAAGUGUGGGUAUCAAACAGGAUUAGAUACCCCAGUAGUC